CCUACGGGCGGCAGUGGGGAAUAUUGGACAAUGGGCGAAAGCCUGAUCCAGCCAUGCCGCGUGUGUGAAGAAGGCCUUCGGGUUGUAAAGCACUUUCAGUGGGGAAGAAAGCCUUGGGGCUAAUACCCUCGAGGAAGGACAUCACCCACAGAAGAAGCACCGGCUAACUCCGUGCCAGCAGCCGCGGUAAUACGGAGGGUGCGAGCGUUAAUCGGAAUUACUGGGCGUAAAGCGCGCGUAGGCGGUCUGAUAAGCCGGUUGUGAAAGCCCCGGGCUCAACCUGGGAACGGCAUCCGGAACUGUCAGGCUAGAGUGCAGGAGAGGAAGGUAGAAUUCCCGGUGUAGCGGUGAAAUGCGUAGAGAUCGGGAGGAAUACCAGUGGCGAAGGCGGCCUUCUGGACUGACACUGACGCUGAGGUGCGAAAGCGUGGGUAGCAAACAGGAUUAGAUACCCUUGUAGUC
rnacentral:rRNA from 1 species